UCGAAGUUUUUCCGAUCAUUGUUUCUCGCUCCCGGGUUACUGUUCACGGAGUUGGUUUGUUUCCAGCCGUGCCCAAACCGAAAUCCAGCCGUGCCCAGCCCAGAAAUCACCGUCGUGCCCAGAAGAUGCCGCCGUGCUCAAGAUCGAUAGGUAUGAUAGGAUCUUCUCACUGGGGAGUUACUAGGUCGGGGGUACUUGAGGGGCAGGCUGUUUCGUCUGGACCAGACAUACGCAGGGGAUAAACCAGGAGCACAGCCACGAACCGCUUUAAUGUCAACUUCUGACAGGCUAAGUGAAGUUUGGUUAUGGCACCGACGCUUAGGGCAUCCAUCUUUUAGUGUUAUGAAAAAAUCCAUGCCUUCUUUGUUUAUUGGUGUGGAUGAGUCAGUCUUACAUUGUGAAACAUGUGUUUUUGGCAAGAGUCAUCGCUCAACCUAUCUGCCUAGUAUUUCAAAUAAAAGUGUCGUUCCUUUUGAAUUAA